UUACAUGCACUCCAAUAGUUGAACAUUGUAGCGUGGCAACAGUCAUUGGUCUUUACUUGAGAGUCGAACUUAUGAGAAGCAUGCCACAACGUUACAAGGAACUCUGAUUUGGACAUACAAUAUUCCCAGCAGCACUGCUGUGAAUCCCUGGUUUCGCAUAGAAAUCUCAAGCUCUUUUUGUUUGAGGUAGCUGAGGUGGCCCUUUUUGGAGGAAAACUUUUGAUAUGCUUAUACGCUAAGCUAAAAUUUUGGAACAAUCUGUAAAUGGUUUGUAUGAAACACUACUGCUGCUUUUGCAAAACUAGACUGGAAUUAUGUAUCCUGUUGUUCCUCUUCCUACA